CGUGUAGGUGGUUUUGUAAGUAGGGCGUGAAAGCUCCUGGCUCAACUGGGAGAGGCCGUUCUAAACUGCAGAACUAGAGGAUGGUAGAGGGAGGUGGAAUUCCAGGUGUAGCGGUGGAAUGCGCAGAUAUCUGGAGGAACACCAGUGGCGAAAGCGGCCUCCUGGACCAUUCCUGACACUCAGACGCGAAAGCUAGGGUAGCAAACGG
rnacentral:rRNA from 1 species